UACGGAGGAUGCGAGCGUUAUCCGGAUUUAUUGGGAUUAAAGGGUGCGUAGGCGGACUGUCAAGUCAGCGGUAAAAUACGGGGGCUCAACCUCCGCCCGCCGUUGAAACUGACGGUCUUGAGUGGGCGAGAAGUAUGCGGAAUGCGUGGUGUAGCGGUGAAAUGCUUAGAUAUAACUUAGAACUCCGAUAGCGAAGGCAGCUUACCAGACUGCGACUGACGCUGAUGCACGAAAGCGUGGGUAUCAAACAGG
rnacentral:rRNA from 1 species